AGGAUAGAGGCGCGGUGUUCAUGCGUACCGCGGAGCAAGGCCAGGCAGCCGCUCCGCAGGAGAGGGAACACCGCCGAAGGUACCUCCGCCUGCCUGGGCGGAGCUCCUGGGCCGUGGGAGAAGAUCUCACGGACUGUCACAAAUUGUGGAGCGCUAUCC
rnacentral:ncRNA from 1 species